ACUACGGGUGGCAGCAGUGGGGAAUAUUGCACAAUGGGCGCAAGCCUGAUGCAGCCAUGCCGCGUGUGUGAAGAAGGCCUUCGGGUUGUAAAGCACUUUCAGCGGGGAGGAAGGCGGUGAGGUUAAUGACCUCAUCGAUUGACGUUACCCGCAGAAGAAGCACCGGCUAACUCCGUGCCAGCAGCCGCGGUAAUACGGAGGGUGCAAGCGUUAAUCGGAAUUACUGGGCGUAAAGCGCACGCAGGCGGUCUGUCAAGUCGGAUGUGAAAUCCCCGGGCUCAACCUGGGAACUGCAUUCGAAACUGGCAGGCUAGAGUCUUGUAGAGGGGGGUAGAAUUCCAGGUGUAGCGGUGAAAUGCGUAGAGAUCUGGAGGAAUACCGGUGGCGAAGGCGGCCCCCUGGACAAAGACUGACGCUCAGGUGCGAAAGCGUGGGGAGCAAACAGGAUUAGAUACCCGUGUAGUC
rnacentral:rRNA from 1 species